GCUCUCGGGUGACGAGCGGCGGACGGGUGAGUAAUGUCUGGGAAACUGCCUGAUGGAGGGGGAUAACUACUGGAAACGGUAGCUAAUACCGCAUAACGUCGCAAGACCAAAGUGGGGGACCUUCGGGCCUCAUGCCAUCAGAUGUGCCCAGAUGGGAUUAGCUAGUAGGUGGGGUAAUGGCUCACCUAGGCGACGAUCCCUAGCUGGUCUGAGAGGAUGACCAGCCACACUGGAACUGAGACACGGUCCAGACUCCUACGGGAGGCAGCAGUGGGGAAUAUUGCACAAUGGGCGCAAGCCUGAUGCAGCCAUGCCGCGUGUAUGAAGAAGGCCUUCGGGUUGUAAAGUACUUUCAGCGAGGAGGAAGGCAUUAAGGUUAAUAACCUUAGUGAUUGACGUUACUCGCAGAAGAAGCACCGGCUAACUCCGUGCCAGCAGCCGCGGUAAUACGGAGGGUGCAAGCGUUAAUCGGAAUUACUGGGCGUAAAGCGCACGCAGGCGGUCUGUUAAGUCAGAUGUGAAAUCCCCGGGCUCAACCUGGGAACUGCAUUUGAAACUGGCAGGCUUGAGUCUUGUAGAGGGGGGUAGAAUUCCAGGUGUAGCGGUGAAAUGCGUAGAGAUCUGGAGGAAUACCGGUGGCGAAGGCGGCCCCCUGGACAAAGACUGACGCUCAGGUGCGAAAAGCGUGGGGAGCAAACAGGGAUUAGAUACCCUGGUAGUCCACGCUGUAAAACGAUGUCGACUUGGAGGUUGUUCCCUUGAGGAGUGGCUUCCGGAGCUAACGCGUUAAGUCGACCGCCUGGGGAGUACGGCCGCAAGGUUAAAACUCAAAUGAAUUGACGGGGGCCCGCACAAGCGGUGGAGCAUGUGGUUUAAUUCGAUGCAACGCGAAGAACCUUACCUACUCUUGACAUCCAGAGAACUUAGCAGAGAUGCUUUGGUGCCUUCGGGAACUCUGAGACAGGUGCUGCAUGGCUGUCGUCAGCUCGUGUUGUGAAAUGUUGGGUUAAGUCCCGCAACGAGCGCAACCCUUAUCCUUUGUUGCCAGCGGUUCGGUCGGGAACUCAAAGGAGACUGCCAGUGAUAAACUGGAGGAAGGUGGGGAUGACGUCAAGUCAUCAUGGCCCUUACGAGUAGGGCUACACACGUGCUACAAUGGCAUAUACAAAGAGAAGCGACCUCGCGAGAGCAAGCGGACCUCAUAAAGUAUGUCGUAGUCCGGAUUGGAGUCUGCAACUCGACUCCAUGAAGUCGGAAUCGCUAGUAAUCGUAGAUCAGAAUGCUACGGUGAAUACGUUCCCGGGCCUUGUACACACCGCCCGUCACACCAUGGGAGUGGGUUGCAAAAGAAGUA
rnacentral:rRNA from 1 species